GAAUGUGAAGGUGAUCUGGCUGCGACAUCUGUCACCUCACUGAUCACCAGGGUUGAUUACGCUGAUCUGACUGGCUAGGCGGGUGUCCCUGUCCUCCCUCAAUGCUCCAUGCGCGUCCUUUCUGAGCUGCGCGCUGGGUCUAAGAAGACGACCACCCGCAUAGAAGAGGACCAGCCCCUUUCCUCCAUCAGUGGUAUAUGAGUAGCUGUGGUCCCAGCCUAGAACCUCCCUCUCACAAUGUUACAGUGAACUAACUGUUCACCAAGCAGAAUCAAAUCCAAUCUUGCAAACUUGCUUUUCAAAUGUAAGAGCUAAAGUUGUGAC
rnacentral:snRNA from 1 species